GCCACUGGUUUCAGUCAGUAAAGCAUGAAACUCGUAAUCUCAGGGUUGUGGGUUUGAGCCCCAUAUUGGGCA
rnacentral:tRNA from 1 species